rnacentral:rRNA from 1 species
UGGGGGAUAUUGCACAAUGGGGGAAACCCUGAUGCAGCGAUGCCGCGUGAAUGAAGACGGCCUUCGGGUUGUAAAGUUCUGUCGUUAGGGACGAUAAUGACGGUACCUAACAAGAAAGCUCCGGCUAACUACGUGCCAGCAGCCGCGGUAAUACGUAGGGAGCGAGCGUUGUCCGGAAUUACUGGGUGUAAAGGGAGCGUAGGCGGGGAGACAAGUUGAAUGUGAAAUCUGACGGCUCAACCGGCAGCUGCGUUCAAAACUGUUUUUCUUGAGUGAAGUAGAGGCAGGCGGAAUUCCUAGUGUAGCGGUGAAAUGCGUAGAUAUUAGGAGGAACACCAGUGGCGAAGGCGGCCUGCUGGGCUUUUACUGACGCUGAGGCUCGAAAGCGUGGGUAGCAAAC